rnacentral:rRNA from 1 species
CGUAGGUGAACCUGCGGAGGGAUCAUUACUGAGUUUACGCUCUACAACCCUUUGUGAACAUACCUACAACUGUUGCUUCGGCGGGUAGGGUCUCCGCGACCCUCCCGGCCUCCCGCCUCCGGGCGGGUCGGCGCCCGCCGGAGGAUAACCAAACUCUGAUUUAACGACGUUUCUUCUGAGUGGUACAAGCAAAUAAUCAAAACUUUUAACAACGGAUCUCUUGGUUCUGGCAUCGAUGAAGAACGCAGCGAAAUGCGAUAAGUAAUGUGAAUUGCAGAAUUCAGUGAAUCAUCGAAUCUUUGAACGCACAUUGCGCCCGCCAGCAUUCUGGCGGGCAUGCCUGUUCGAGCGUCAUUUCAACCCUCAAGCUCUGCUUGGUGUUGGGGCCCUACAGCCGAUGUAGGCCCUCAAAGGUAGUGGCGGACCCUCCCGGAGCCUCCUUUGCGUAGUAACUUUACGUCUCGCACUGGGAUCCGGAGGGACUCUUGCCGUAAAACCCCCCAAUUUUCCAAAGGUUGACCUCGGAUCAGGUAGGAAUACCCGCUGAACUUAAGCAUAUCAAUAAGCGGAGG